rnacentral:misc_RNA from 1 species
CUGAGGUCUUCACUUCUUCGGAGGUGUUACCCGUCCUUAUGUCAUACGCACGGGCCGCGGCCGGCUGGCGAAACCCGCAAGGGGGAAGUCAUGCGUGGACGCGGAACGAGACAAGUAUUUCCGCCGAGGUGGUGUGGCUCUUGAGCGAUCGAGGGACACACCCGCGGCGGGCCCAAAUAUCCUUACAACUCUUGCGAGAACAUGAAGUCUGAGCAAUCAAAAAACAAAUGAAAAAGCA